AACCCAUGAUGAGGACAAUAUCUCAAAAAAAUCUUAGACCUCUCUUAAGAUCAUAUAAGGACUCAUCUUUCCCUUGUCUAAAAUUUGAAAUUUUGGACCUGAUGAC
rnacentral:snoRNA from 1 species